rnacentral:rRNA from 1 species
GGAUCCAGACUUUGAUUAUGGCUCAGGAUGAACGCUAGCUACAGGCUUAGCACAUGCAAGUCGAGGGGAAACGACAUCGAAAGCUUGCUUUUGAUGGGCGUCGACCGGCGCACGGGUGAGUAACGCGUAUCCAACCUGCCCACCACUUGGGGAUAACCUUGCGAAAGUAAGACUAAUACCCAAUGAUAUCUCUAGAAGACAUCUGGAAGAGAUUAAAGAUUUAUCGGUGAUGGAUGGGGAUGCGUCUGAUUAGCUUGUUGGCGGGGUAACGGCCCACCAAGGCGACGAUCAGUAGGGGUUCUGAGAGGAAGGUCCCCCACAUUGGAACUGAGACACGGUCCAAACUCCUACGGGAGGCAGCAGUGAGGAAUAUUGGUCAAUGGGCGAGAGCCUGAACCAGCCAAGUAGCGUGCAGGAUGACGGCCCUAUGGGUUGUAAACUGCUUUUAUAAGGGAAUAAAGUGAGUCUCGUGAGACUUUUUGCAUGUACCUUAUGAAUAAGGACCGGCUAAUUCCGUGCCAGCAGCCGCGGUAAUACGGAAGGUCCGGGCGUUAUCCGGAUUUAUUGGGUUUAAAGGGAGCGUAGGCCGGAGAUUAAGCGUGUUGUGAAAUGUAGACGCUCAACGUCUGCACUGCAGCGCGAACUGGUUUCCUUGAGUACGCACAAAGUGGGCGGAAUUCGUGGUGUAGCGGUGAAAUGCUUAGAUAUCACGAAGAACUCCGAUUGCGAAGGCAGCUCACUGGAGCGCAACUGACGCUGAAGCUCGAAAGUGCGGGUAUCGAACAGGAUUAGAUACCCUGGUAGUCCGCACGGUAAACGAUGGAUGCCCGCUGUUGGUCUGAAUAGGUCAGCGGCCAAGCGAGAGCAUUAAGCAUCCCACCUGGGGAGUACGCCGGCAACGGUGCAACUCAAAUGAAUUGACGG